rfam:Dipodomys ordii contig_48134, whole genome shotgun sequence.
GGGAAUGUAGCUUAGUGGUAGAGUGCUUGCCUAGCAUGCAUGAAGCCCUGGGUUAAAUUCCUCACUACCA